UACGUAGGGGGCUAGCGUUGUCCGGAAUCAUUGGGCGUAAAGCGCGUGUAGGCGGUCCGGUAAGUCCGCUGUGAAAGUCGGGGGCUCAACCCUCGGAUGCCGGUGGAUACUGUCGGGCUUGAGUACGGAAGAGGCGAGUGGAAUUCCUGGUGUAGCGGUGAAAUGCGGCAGAUAUCAGGAGGAACACCAAUUGCGAAGGCAGCUCGCUGGGACGUUACUGACGCUGAGACGCGAAAGCGUGGGGAGCAAACAGG
rnacentral:rRNA from 1 species